CGCGCAUGCGCUAGGGAAGACUGCGUUGCUAGCAGCUGAGUGAAGGCCGAAAGGGCCAAUGGAAACGUUAGACGACGCUCGGGCCUCUGGGUAGAGCGUUGGUGUCCGCUUUCGUGAAAUCGAGUUGCCUACCCCAGAGCUUUCCCGCGAUGGUCUUCGUCACAGGUGUCUGGGAGGCGGCUUAAGCUCACUUCACUAGGUCAUUAAGCAUGUACUUUGGUGGUUACAUAUAUCUUAGAAGUCACCGGCUUUACAUUCUGUUUUCCUGGCCUUCGAACUGGAGCAUCAGUACUACCGCCGUUGGAAUAGCAACCUGGAGACUUUGCUAUUUUGUGAAGAAACUCCAACUAUCCCCAUGGGCACAGAAUUUUGGGUGCUCUGGUGCAAAUGUCUCAGUUCUGGAGGCUGGGAAGUCAAAGACAAGGCACUGGCAGAUUCCAUGACUGGAAAGGAGAGAAGGUCUCUGAGGAAGUGACAUUCCAGCUGAGACGUGAAGGAUAAGUAGAAACCAAGCAGAAGAAUUGGAAGAGGAAAGGGAAGAGGGAAAAGCCUGUGCCAAUGCCCUGAGAUUGGAAUAUGCUUUUUGUGUUUAAGAAAUUAACAGAAGGAGAAGCACAUCUCUGGCUGCCCUCAGUACACUAAGAGAAUCAGACCUCAGAGGUGGCUGCAUUUUAUUGUUGGGAGUAAG